GAUGAAGAACGCAGCGAAAUGCGAUAAGUAGUGUGAAUUGCAGAUUUCAGUGAAUCAUCGAAUCUUUGAACGCACAUUGCGCCCCCUGGUAUUCCGGGGGGCAUGCCUGUCCGAGCGUCAUUGCUGCCCUCAAGCACGGCUUGUGUGUUGGGCCUCCGUCCUCCUCCCGGGGGACGGGCCCGAAAGGCAGCGGCGGCACCGCGUCCGGUCCUCGAGCGUAUGGGGCUUCGUCACCCGCUCUUGUAGGCCCGGCCGGCGCUUGCCGACACAUCAAUCUUUUUUCCAGGUUGACCUCGGAUCAGGUAGGGAUACCCGCUGAACUUAAGCAUAUCAAUAAGCGGAGGA
rnacentral:misc_RNA from 1 species